rnacentral:rRNA from 1 species
AAACUAACAAGGAUUCCCCUAGUAGCGGCGAGCGAAGCGGGAAGAGCUCAAAUUUAUAAUCUGGCACCUUCGGUGUCCGAGUUGUAAUCUCUAGAAAUGUUUUCCGCGUUGGACCGCACACAAGUUUGUUGGACUACAGCGGCAUAGUGGUGAGACCCCCGUAUAUGGUGCGGACGCCCAGCGCUUUGUGAUACAUUUUCGAAGAGUCGAGUUGUUUGGGAAUGCAGCUCAAAUUGGGUGGUAAAUUCCAUCUAAAGCUAACUAUUGGCGAGAGACCGAUAGCGAACAAGUACCGUGAGGGAAAGAUGAAAAGCACUUUGGAAAGAGAGUUAACAGUACGUGAAAUUGUUGGAAGGGAAACGCUUGAAGUCAGACUUGCUUGCUGAGCAAUCGGUUUGCAGGCCAGCAUCAGUUUUCCGGGAUGGAUAAUGGUAGAGAGAAGGUAGCAGUUUCGGCUGUGUUAUAGCUCUCUGCUGGAUACAUCUUGGGGGACUGAGGAACGCAGUGUGCCUUUGGCGGGGGUUUCGACCUCUUCACACUUAGGAUGCUGGUGG